rnacentral:lncRNA from 10 species
GGCAGGGACUCGCUGGACUGUGAGGAGAAGCAGUGUGUCCUCACCUUUCCACCUUCCUCUGGCCACAGCUUUAGCUGCUGAAUGAUAACAAGGCUGCCUGCCGAUCUCAUAAGAGGGCAUCUUGGGCAAGGCAAGGAGAAAGGGCUUUGGAGUCUUGAGUUCAAAUCCCGGCUCCCCCAGCUGCUGUGCAACCGUGAUGUAUGACAGCCUCUCUGGGCCUCAGUGUUUGUAUCUGCAAGAUGAGGCUCUGACAUAGACCUGAUUAGGUUAUGGUGAGGAUUACACAAUCCCUGCUUGAAAGGCACCUGGCUUGUUCUGAGUAAACCCUGUGACUCCCUUUAAUUCCUGGUGGGUGGCUUGCUUGUGCCCUCAUGAGGUUCAGCACUUGGCAGUACCCUGUCACCUGUUCAUCAUUAGCAAUGACGGACGCAAUGCUUCCUCUGUGACAAAGCCUCAUCCGACAGAGCAGGACUGCAGGGCUUCUCCAGGGCUUGGGGAGGGGGACAAGGGCAGUGCGCACAGUUCCUUUUUGUUUGCUGAUGCCACACUAGGCACGUGAAAGGGCUGGGUCAGAGAACCCAGCUUGGCCCACGCUGUCUCGGUUGGUGGCCGUCCUCACCUUCCUCACCCUUCAGAUCCCGUAGGGAGCCCCUGCGGUGGUGCCAUGGACGGGAAGCAUCCCACCGUGCUUGUGGCUCACCUCGAGGUCCAGGUGUCACUGCAUGGCCUGAAAAGGACUGUCUCCGAGCAGAACAAGCUCAUGACCAAGAACAAAGAGGACAUCUUGACCGUGUAAGUAAUGAUGACCGCUCUGUCCCCAGCUCAUAGGGACCCUGAGGACUCCAGGUUGCCUCCCUAUGUUGGCUCCUGAUUCAAGCAGAUGGCAGGGGGGUGUGUCCCAAGGAGCUGGGUGCUGAUGUCAGGAGCCCAGCACCCUUGUGGAAGCCAAGAACGACACUGAGGGGGCAAGAAGAGACUGUGAUGAGCUAAGUGAUGGUGUUGUCCCCAGCACGCAACAAGGGCUGGUGCGGCAACUGGCGACCUGAGAGGGAGGGCUGGUCCCAGCAGGGAGGUGUUCAUAGAAGGGAGAGAUUUUCGGUGAGGAGUGGCAGCACAGUCAUUCUCAACCCAGUGUGUCUUGGGAGAUGCCUAUGGGGUGGAAGUUGGAUGAUCAGGCUGUUAUUGGGUCAAUCUGAUUCAAGGAGAGGGAGGAGAGGUGACGUGGCCAGAAGGAGGGCAGGAGGGUGGACAGCAGAGAAUGCAGCCGGCCACCCGGGCCAUCCCCCUUGCCUCCACUCACUCAUCCUUUCCCACCCCUGGGCCGAGGAUGCGUCUCAUUAGGUAGUUUUCAGAUGGGUAAACUGAGGCAGGAGCCAUUCCAGGCCCAGAGAGGAGAGCCAGGAAGGCACGUGUUGUAAUCCCUGGGUUAGUUUUUCAUUCACACACAGGGGAACCUCUCCAGCCCUGCCACUCACUAGUUUUAAGAGGCUCAAGUGUUCUGAUUCCUGGCAGCAGCAACGUGGUAAUGCUUCUUUCUUGUUCCCUCCCUGAUCCCUUCUUCCCUCAUGCUUGAGGGCUUGGCCCCGCUUUUCUCCAUGUAUUUCCACCAGGGUGCCACACUGCCUGGAAUUGCAACCGCUGGGGCCUUGUCCAGUUUAUUAUCUCUCACCACAGGUGCAGGAAGGAGGCAGGGAGCAGGGCUGUGUCGCAGAGCAAGGCCAGGGCAUCCCACCCCACCAUGGCCGCCCAUCCCCAUGGCCUCCCUCAAGAUCAGGAAACUGCUCCACAUUGCAGUAACUAAGUGCACCAGGCGUGGCUGCUGGUGAGGGGUGGUCAGGCAGCACCUGUGGCCAGCCUAAAGGAAGGUCAAGGUUUGUGAAGGCAUCUGGUGCCUCCCCUGUUGAAAUUUCUUUUUCUCCUCCUUAUUAGUUGAAUCUUAAGAAUUGACAGUACCAUAAAACGUGAAACCUUUAUUUCUGCUUUUUAAAUGGAAAACCGGGCUGGGCACAGCGGCUCAUGCCUAUAAUCCCAGCACUUUGGGAGGCUGAGGUGGGCAGAUCGGCUGAGGUCAGGAGUUCAAGAUCAGCCUGGCCAACAUGGUGAAACCCCAUCUCUACUAAAAAUACAAAAAUUAGCCAGGCAUGGUGGCACAUGCCUGUAACCCCAGCUACUCAGGAGGCUGAGGCAGGAGAAUCGCUUAAACCCAGGAGGCGGAGGUUGCAGUGAGACGAGAUUGCGCCAUUGCACUCCAGCCUGGGUGGCAGAGUGAGACUCCACCUCAAAAAAAAGAAAAAAGGAAAACCAAGCAAAAGUCACUGUCAGGGGACCUCCCACCCACCAUACAGGGGAACACUCGGCAGAGCCAGAGGCCUGGGCCCAAGUCCUGCCACCAGCUGGCUGUGAAACUGUGGUACAGCACCUUGUGUCCUGCCACCAGCCGGCUGUGAAACUGGUACAGCACCUUGUCCUCAGGUCCUUGGUUUCCUCACUUGUAAAUUCAUGGUUCUCCAUGGCAUCUCUGGUCUUCAACAUUAUUUUGCAUAGAGUCUCAGAAGCUUUAGUGUGAGCGGAUGAUAUGGGCACGAAGCAAGGCACCCAGAAGUGGGGGCAACUACUCUGCUUUCUAAAAUGCAAGGGAACCGGAAAAUCCAGGAGCCGUGCCAAAUGAGAAGAGGAACAAAUGGAGGAACAUCCCAGUCAAGUGACAUUCCUAGUGACAUUCACCAGAACAGAGUCAAGCUUUGGAUCCCAUGUUCUGUGACUUCCUCUUCACCACGCUUCCUCCACACACGUAGCAGCUCAAGGGUUUCUGAUGAGUGGGAGGCUUGACUAGAAUUGAAUUCGAGACAAGCACAAAGAUCAUGAUGCAAAUGAAAGGGACAGAGGGGAGAGAAACAGAAAACAAGUGAGUCAAAUUUGGUCUAUGUUCCCUUUAUGAGCUGUAACGCACACCAUGAAGGUCUGCGGCUUGGCUAUUGAGUCAGUGAGAGCGUGAACCUACUAUUAGAAGAAAAACUCUGAAUACGUCUGAACGUCAGAAAGAACGAAGUUUGGACACAUUGUCUUUAAGAACUGUAACACUCACCCCAAGGGUUUAUGGAUUCAUUCUUGAAAUCAGUGAAACCAAAAGCUUUCCAAAGUUUAACACACAGGGAAAUGACUUACUGCAAAGAACCACUCUUCCCCACGAGACUUCGAGAAGACCCGCUGUCACGGACUGAGUUGUGUCCUCUUAAAAUUCAGAUGUUGGAGUCCAAACCCCCAGUAACUCAGAGUGUGAACGUAUUUGAAGAGGUCUUUAAAGAGGUGAUGAAGGGAGAGAGACCCCAUGAGCUCGUCAAGCUCCUUCUGUGACUGAUCAGAGAUCCCACCGUGAGUCCAGCUCCUGGUCCCAUGCUCUGGAUAUAUCGGUCCCUGGCAGCGUGCAGUCUUCUUUCCACCAAUGACCCCUCGCGCUGCUUCCAGAAGCCAAGAAAGUGGGCUUUGUCCUUGGGGAUUUAGGAGGCGGAGCGGCGCCCCCUUGAGGCCACAUGGUGGAGGCAGCGAUGAGACCUGGAGUCUAAAAUUCAGACUGAAUCACAGGAAGAAGCUAUUUACACAAGUCAAACAUGGUCCAAUCUUGGCAAUUUCAUAAGGUUCCAAUCCUUAAGGGAUCAAAACCUGGCCAACUGCUUCCACCGAGAGGUGUGCCUUUCAAUGCCAGGCUUGGAGUGUCCCUCUUUAUUUAAAAAGGAGAGGAUUCCACAGCAGAGCUUCUCAAACUCUUCCACCCAAAUCCCCUCACCACAGAGGGACAGGAGUCCUGGGCAUGUAGCCUAAAGCAGCCAGGAGAAAAAAACCUUGACCUUAAUUUUUUUAAUGAUUUCACAUGAAUCAGUGGAAUGUGUUUAUGAUAAAAUCAUCUCCUCCUGAAAUACAUGUGUAAAACUGCUGCCCCAGUUAAACGCACUUAGUCUAACCAAGCCCUAGGAUUGGCCUCUCCAGCAUGAGAAGCAUUUCCAGCACUCCAGCUCCCCAGCUCCCACUCUGGGAUCCCACCUCAGACCCUCCCACUUCCUUGCACUCUGGCCUCUCGCUCUUGACCCUGCUCCCGCCACGCUCUUUCCUCAGAGUCCAUCAGUCCUGUCUUGUCUUCACCUUGGUCUCUGCCAAGUGUGGGUCCAAGUCAUAUAUUUGGGCUGUGAUCACAGGAACCCCAAGCCCCAGACCUCCCAAAGCACCCUAUGGAGAGACCUUACCCUCCUGGACAGACCCUCUCCCCCCAGCUAGACCUCAUCCUCUGGGUAGACCCAUCUCCCCAACCAGAACUCACCCUCCUGAGUAAACCCCAUCCCCCUAGCUAGACUUCAUCCUCCUGGACAGAUCCCAUCCCCCCAGCUAGACCUCACCCUCUUGGGUAGAUGCAUCUCCCCAACCAGAACUCUCCUGGGUAGACCCCUUCUACCCAGCUAGACCUGAUCCUCUGGACAGACCCCAUCAUCCCAGCUAGACUUCUCCCUCCUGGACUGUCCCCAUCCCCCCUCCAGCCAGACCUCACCCCUCUGGGUAGACCCCAUCCCCCCAACUAGACCUCACCCUCCUGGAUGGACUCUACCCUCCUGGAGAUACCUUCCCCUCCUGGGUACAUCCCACGUGGCUACACACUCCUUCCCCUGUCAGCUUUCUCCCCCAGGGUUCUGGGCAGCAGAGUCUGUGAUAAAGGAUACUAAGUGAUUCCCCAAUACUUCCCGUUUCCAGCCUCCAGUGGGCUCUCCCUGGGGCUAACGGUUCUUUUUGCUAUUUCUCCAGGCUUUGCCUGAUGACAAGUAUACUCUGAGAGUGUCCUAAUGAUACAGAUUUUGGACCCUAUCCCAGUUCUACUGAAUCCAAGUCUCUGGGGGAGGAGUUGGGGCUCUGCAUCUGGACACCUUCCUGCAGGGUCCCUCCUGGGAGGCAAGCCCGGGGAGCACCGCUGAGGCUCGCCUCAGUGCCCAUCCUAGACCUUCAGCAGCUAGCAGAGGAUGUCCCCACCAUCCCUCAGCCCACACUCCCACUGUCGCCCCAGCCAGGCUUGGCACUGCCUCCUUUCUCAGAAGAUUAAGACCAUCUGCUGUUUCCCAAGUUUCCCACCCUCCACCCUAAAAAUUUCUCCGUUUCCCAGUCUUUCCUCGUCUCUCAGAAAAUAAACAUCUUCCCAGGCUGCCUCCCCAGUGGGUCUGCACUCCUUGCUGUCUUCCCAGCACCUGCCCUUCCAGCCCGCCCUCUGUGUGUCCAGUGUUUCCCUCACCAAAGGACUCGCUUUGUUUUUCAAAUUGGAGGUUUUGUCUUCUCCCUAAAAACCAAAACAUCUCCCUGAGAAGUAACUCCCUCAAGCUACUGAUACGGAAGGGGGGCGGGGAAGUGCUGGGAAGGGAAGGGUGUGGUCCCUGGCUAGGGCUCCACCCCCGGGCCUGUGCCCACAGACCUAGGUGAGGACAGGCAUUUCUGUUUUCGUGCUUAAAUGUUGGAUUUCCCAAGACUACCCUGGCCUACCACACCCUCAUUCUGUGCCUGUAAAAAAACCUGAGAGCUUAGCAGGCACGCACACAAGCCUCUGGACGUCAAGAGGAACACACCGGUGUAAGAGCAGACUGAUAGUGGCCCACGGCAGGCUGGCAGGCCAUCGACAGGCAGAACCACUCAGUGCAGCUGGAGGACAGCCUGGCCACGGAGCGGUCCGACUUCAGAGGGGAAAACCACCUCCCCACUCCGUCUCCCUUCUGGCUCCCCCAUCUGAGAGCUACUUCCACUCAAUAAAACCUUGCACUCAUUCUCCAAGCCCAUGUGUGAUCUGAUUCUUUUGGUGCACGGAGGCAAGAAACCUCAGGAUACAGAAAGCCUCUGUCCUUGGAAUAAGGCAGGAGGUCUAACAGCUGACUAGGGAUGGCUCAACUGAAACAGCAUCCUGUAACACAGGCCCAUUGGGACCUCAGGAGCUGUAAACAUUCACCCUUAGACAUUGCUGUGGGGUUGGAGCCCCACCACCUGCCCAUCUGCAUGCUCCCCCUACAGGUUUGAGCAGCGGGGCACAGAAGAAGCCAGCCACACCUCCAUCGCAAGCCCUGCCACGGGGAUAAGGGAACUUUUCCCGUUUUGCCACCAGCUCAAGCCCCGCCUUCCUGUCACUCCACACUCUUCAUCUCUGUGUAUGGGUGUGGUCUUCCUCAGUUCCUUCUCUGGCCUCACACAGUGCCCUGAAUAAUGCUUUGCAAGGCCUUUGCCAGGAGCCUAGGUGAAAGGCAGAAGAGGUGCCCCUGCAGCAUCGCAAGGUAGAGAUCGUGGUUACAAGAUGGGGACUAGACUCCCAGUUUGCCCUUGGACUGGGCAGCCCCUUGGAUUUUGUUUUCCCUGACGUUGCUGUUCUGAUCCAAGGCCUUGUGGCCUCGCUACAGACACCCAAGGCCAGGCCUAUCUUUGCAUGAAUAACUAAAGAAAGCCUAGAGGAUGAGUAAAAUGACCACACUGUAUGGCUUUGGAGGACUGGAAGUUACUGAGGACUAUGAGUGGGUUUUUUGCAUAGACUGCAGUAAAGGUCCUCAGAAAAGACCCUCAAGAGCUAUGGGGGGGUCUGGUCAAAUGCCACUUCUAGACUGGACUCCAAAACUGGUGCUGAUUAUUUUCACUCCUACCCCACCCACCAGCCUGAUAGGCGAUUCCUGAAGUAGCAGUGGGGCGCUCAGUGGUGCUCACCAGGCCCAGAGCUCAGUCCUUCCCCCAUUCUGCCUGAUGGGGCUUGUGUAACCAAGGAUGACAGAUGGGACAAUCCCUGUUGGUAAAGACUGAGUUGAUUCUGACCAGGACCAGAGAUAAAACCCAGCACCUUUAUCUUUCCCCUUUGUACCUUCUUCAGAAAGACCUUCUUCUGCAGCAGUUCUGGAACUGUGAUCUGUGAGGUGUGGUUGCAAGAAUUCUUUAUUUUUUUAUUUUAUUUUUUUCAGACAAAGUCUCACUCUGUCGCCCAGGCUGGAGUGCAAUGGUGCGAUCUCGGCCCACUGCAACCUCCGCCUCCCAGGUUCAAAUGAUUCUCCUGCCUCAGCCUCCUGAGUAGCUGGGAUUACAAGCAUGUGCCUCCACGUCCAGCUAAUUUUUGUAUUUUUAGCAGAGACGGGGUUUCAUCAUGUUGGUCAGGCUAGUCUCAAACUCUUGACCUCAUGAUACACCUGCCUUGGCCUCCUGAAGUGCUGGGAUUACAGGCGUAAGCCACCACGCCUGGCCUGGCAAGAAUUCUUUUAUAAAGAAUUCUAGGUCUAUUAAACCCAGAUUCUUCAACUAGAACAGGCACACAGGAAAAAGGUUCACUAAAAACCCUGUUCUCUUGCCUCAUUUUGGUGAUUUCCAGCUAGGCUGUUGGGAUAGGCAUAUGUAAGUGUCACUUCCAUCUUUUCAUAGGUAUCUCACAGAAUCUCUGACCAAUGGAGAGCUAAUCAAAGACAAGUUUAAUAGGUGAAG